rnacentral:rRNA from 1 species
AAAACAUAGCUUUUAACAAAGGACCUUUGGUUUGAAGUGUUGAAAGUGAGGCCUGCCCAGUGGUUGUAUUUAAAAUUGAGUAAUAAAAUAAGUUAUUCAACUAAGAACGAUUAAACGGCCGCGGUAACUCUGACCGCGAUAAAGUAGCGCAAUCAAUAGUCAAUUAAUUGUUGACAAGUAUGAAUGGCUAAACGAGUGCCUCGCUGUCUCAAGAUAAAUACCAAUGAAAUUGAAUUCGUAGUGAAGAUGCUACGUGCAAAUUGUUAGACGAGAAGACCCCGUUGAGCUUUACUGUAAACUUAUGUUGUUUUUUUUAAUUUAUGGAAUAGGUAAAUUAUUUAAUUUUUUGGAAAGAAUUAAUCAUGGUUGUAAGUUGGGCAGUUUGAUUGGGGCGAUCGCCUUCUAAAGAGUAACGAAGGUAGACAUAAGGUGAAUAUUUUAAUAGAAUAAAAUAAUAGCUUGACAGUAAAAGUAAUUCUUGAGCUGACACGGUGGAUAAUAAUCGUGGGUUAUAGUGACCCGUUUGUUUAGGGUGGGAUAACUAACGAUCAAUAAAUAAAAGUUACCACGGGGAUAACAGCGUAAUCUCGUUUGAGAGUUCGUAUCGACGACGAUGUUUGCGACCUCGAUGUUGAAUUGCGGUUUCCUGGGGGUGCAGCCG